rnacentral:rRNA from 1 species
UACGGGGGGGGCAAGCGUUGUUCGGAAUUACUGGGCGUAAAGGGCUCGUAGGUGGCCAACUAAGUCAGACGUGAAAUCCCUCAGCUUAACUGGGGAACUGCGUCUGAUACUGGAUGGCUUGAGAUUGGGAGAGGGAUGCGGAAUUCCAGGUGUAGCGGUGAAAUUCGUAGAUAUUGGGAAGAACACCGGUGGCGAAGGCGGCUAUCUGGCCCGUAAUUGACGCUGAGGCGCGAAAGCGUGGGGAGCAAACAGG